GUGGGGAAUUUUGCGCAAUGGGGGAAACCCUGACGCAGCAACGCCGCGUGAGUGAUGAAGGCCUUCGGGUCGUAAAGCUCUGUCAGAGGGAAAGAAGUGCAGUGGUGCUAAUACCAUCAUUGCUUGACGGUACCCUCAAAGGAAGCACCGGCUAACUCCGUGCCAGCAGCCGCGGUAAUACGGAGGGUGCGAGCGUUGUUCGGAAUUAUUGGGCGUAAAGCGCGUGCAGGCGGUCUUUUAAGUCUGAUGUGAAAGCCCCGGGCUCAACCUGGGAAGUGCAUUGGAAACUGGGAGACUUGAAUACGGGAGAGGGUAGUGGAAUUCCUAGUGUAGGAGUGAAAUCCGUAGAUAUUAGGAGGAACACCGGUGGCGAAGGCGGCUUGCUGGACGACAACUGACGCUGAGGCGCGAAAGCGUGGGGAGCAAACAGGAUUAGAAACCCUUGUAGUCC
rnacentral:rRNA from 1 species